GUGCCAGCAGCCGCGGUAAUACGAAGGGGGCUAGCGUUGUUCGGAAUUACUGGGCGUAAAGGGCGCGUAGGCGGUCUUGUCAGUCAGGCGUGAAAGGCCCGGGCUCAACCUGGGGACUGCGCUUGAUACUGCGAGGCUUGAAUCCGGGAGAGGAUGGCGGAAUUCCCAGUGUAGAGGUGAAAUUCGUAGAUAUUGGGAAGAACACCGGUGGCGAAGGCGGCCAUCUGGACCGGUAUUGACGCUGAGGCGCGAAAGCGUGGGGAGCAAACAGGAUUAGAAACCCCCGUAGUCC
rnacentral:rRNA from 1 species